rnacentral:misc_RNA from 1 species
UGCAUGAACGUAAUGCUCAUAACUUCCCUCUAGACCUAGCUGCUAUUGAAGUUCCAUCUACAACUGGAUAAUACUUUUGUCCUAGUCUAUACGAGUUUUUGAAAGUAAGGGAGCAAUCACCUCUUGUUCUAUCAAGAGUGCAUUGCUCCCUUACUUUUCUUUUUUUAUUACGACUAGAGUAGUCUUUUCUUUACAGAUCGUUUUUUUGUUACAAGAAAAAUAUUUUUAUGCUUUGGUUCAUGAUUGAGUCUCCUUUUUUCUUUUUGUUUUCUAUUCCUUUUGAAUUGAGAUACCUUUGUUUUGUCAAAUUGUUUUUUUCCAUUGAAAAGAUGAAAAGAAAAGAUAAAAUUUGCUUAAGACUUCCAAUUUCUAUCUCCGAAAUAAGAAAGAAAUAAUCAGGAAUUUUUUAAAUUGAAAUCUUAAGGGGCGGAUGUAGCCAAGUGGAAUAAGGCAGUGGAUUGUGAAUCCACCAUGCGCGCCUGUGUGAAA